rnacentral:lncRNA from 1 species
GACUUACAAGCGUACACGUAUGCUAGGACUGUGUUUAUACAAGAUUUGGGAUUUUUUAAUUGAACUGUAAAUGUAUGAAUCAUCAUGGUUUGAAUGUGACAAUUAAACAGCUGAAACAGCAUUUGGAUUCUUUUGCAACUUGUUUGAUAGAAUUGUUUGGUGAUAUAAUAUAUUAUUUCUGCAUGUUUACAGUAUUACCUGUACAACUCUGUCAGAAACAUUGGUGUUAGUAGCCAAAAAAGGUUUCAUUAAAGGCCAUGUAAAGUAUGUAAUGUAAACAAACCCUUUGUUUACAUUUUGAACCCAGUGCUAUAUUAGAUAUAUCAUAUAUAUUAUGCUGAAUUUUAAUUCUUCUGUUUUGCUAUGUUUGUAAAUGAAUACAGA